rnacentral:sRNA from 1 species
UAAUUUCUCAUAACUAUGGAGCUGUGUUGCUGAUAACAAUCUUAUUCUCAAUUAUUCCUAGGUUCUAAAGAUGGUAAUGUUCGUCUUUGGAAAUGUGGAGCUGAAUAUAGGACAUUAUCACCUUUAUUUAAUGUACCAGUGAAAGGUUUUGUGAACUGUUUGAAAUUUUCCAACAAAGGAGAUUUUUUGGUAGCAGCAGUUGGACAAGAGCAUCGGAUGGGCAGAUGGUGGCACCUUAAAGAUGCCAAAAAUGGAUGGGUUGUAAUACCCUUGAAAAGUAAUUCAAUUUAAACUUGCACAUUGUCAACUAUGUUUAUGUACAGAAUAAUACAAAUAUUGAGUCAUUAAAUUUCAUUGUUUUAAUUCA